UUUCUUGUGUGGGGCAAAAAGCCCAAGAGUUGAAGUUAACGGUUUUCGUCAUUAUCUUGGGCAAAAUUUCUCUUCCCGGUCGUGUUUUUCUGGAGUCAAGGAAGGAAACCCCCAGAACCCAUCAGGUUGCCGAGAUUUAACCUCUUCGUUGCCUAAUUGACUAAAAGACGUUUACGUUUCUCAUAUAAACUCAAAAGUUAGGCAGGGGUAUUUUGCACAAGAAACUGUGUUUUAAGAGCUAUUCUUGGGUCCCAAGGGUUUGGAGUGGGGAUUUAAAUUAGGAACGAAAGAGUAGCGAUCGUCAGGAGGAAGUUUCCUGUCUGGUAGAGGAGACAUUGUCCUUGCCGCUAGUGAACAGCAAGUAAGUUAGUUGUUCACGUUGGAGGAAGAGGCAGAGCCCUGCUCCAAAAACUAGCUCUGAGGAAUUCCCAGUUGAGCUCUGUUUCGAGCGCCCACCUCGUUGUCCCACUGCGUGUGGGUUUGAGAAAGUGGGGCGCGGGGGGGUUCUGUUUCUUGAAUGUGAAGGUGCUUUACUAGAGUCUUAGAAACGUGGAACCCCACUCAGCUCAAAUAACCUCUGUAUUCCAUAUGCUUGCUUGAGCCAAGAGUUGGAGGAGGGAGAAAGGAAGAAGGAAUAUUUUUAGUGAAGCUGGAACCAGGAAAGGAAUGGAUAUUUACAUAAUAAUGAAAGGUCCUAGGAAGGAAAGGUUGGUCUGGUCAAGAAUAUUAGGCCAGAAAAAAAAAAAAGAAUAUUAAGCCAGAAGAGCCAUCAGAAAAAAACUAGAAAAUAGAGAGCAGGCAGGAGGAUUUAACCUCCCUAGAGGAAGACAAGAGAAGCAAUGCUGGGCGGAGACCGACUGGCUGGAAUCCAGGCAAGGUCCAUCCCUAAAUUAGGAUCCUGGAGCCCAGUUUCGACCUGGGGCAGUUAAGAUGGAGAGUUCCACUGGAGCAGAGUUGAAAGAACGAAGCAGCUGAAGAUAAACACCUGAUUGAUGUAUGAGAUGAAGAACUCCAAGGAGUUUAAGUUCCAGUCGGUUUGCCAGCAUUCACUCUCCUUGGCAAUUGCCUGGGCCGUUUUUGACACAGGCAGCUUUUUUAUUUAGUAUUUAGGUUUUAGUGCUUAAAAUAACUACCUUUGAUAACUUGGGUUGAACUGCACAUAACAACUUAUUUGAAAAUGGCUCAUGUUUCUUUUGUAUCCUUUCAGCACUCAUGCAUUUAAUUUCACACUAUUGCUGUUACUUUGUACUUCCUGCUGUAUUUGUGAGAUCAUUCUUGGAUGUUCUAGCUCCCUAACUGGUGAUAAGGAUCUCAUAUUAAGAGCAUAUCUUAGGCUGGGCAUGGUGGCACACACCUGUGAUCCCAGCACUCAGGAGGCUGAGGCAGGAGGAUCACAGUGAGUUUGAGGCCAGCCUGGGCCUAAGUUCAAGGCCAACCUGAAUUACAUAGUGAGAACCUGGUCUCAAAAAAAAAAAAAAAAAAAAGUAUCUCAAUUCUUCUGUGUACUCUUUUCUAAUAGUGCCCUGUUCAUGUUCUACCCACUGUAAAUACUUGCUAGUCCGUUAGAAUAUCAUUACCAUUCCCAUCAUUACAGAUACUCAGCAUUAGUUAAUCUCCUACACUGGAUUCUCUAACAUUGCAGCUGACACUAAAGAGUUUACAAUUUCAGAUCUGGAUGAAGAGGCCCACACAUGGAAUCCUACCACUUGGGAGGCUGAGGCAGGAGGACUGCUGUGAGCUCCAGGCCAGUUUGGGCUACGUAGUUGAAGGCCAGCCUGGAAUACAUAGUGAGACCCUGUCAGCCAGUACUGGGGAUUGGACCCAGGCCCUUGUACAUGCUAGUCAAGCCCUGUACCACUGAGCUACACUUCCACCUAUUGCCUGACAGCAAAAGGGUGAAACCACUGAUUUUGAAGCAAAUCCUUCCAACCUGCAAGAACGCCAUCUUUGUGAAGAAACCCUCUCUACAGAAUGUCCCUUGGCUUCACUGGUUCUGUGUAUGUAGGCUGAUUUAAUAUUCAGUCAAUCCUUGGAUUUCACUUCCAGUAUAUCUGCUUCCAAUAUUUAAUCCCAGCAUGACAUCUCCUCGCCUCACAGCGUGCUCCCAGUGUACCCUCCUUCACUCUGAUUAGAGUGGCUUCAGGGAAUACCUUCCUUUUAACAUUAAACUGGGUAAAAACAGAAAUAGAAAGAUAAAUCUGUAGCAAGAUCAAAAAUAGAAUUCAUAGCUAAAUAUAAAUCUAGAGGGAAUUAUCCAAUUAUUUGGAUGGUCCCUCACCACAGACAAUCCAGGGUUGACUGACUUUUGCUUUUUCCAUAUAUAGAACAAAAUGGUUAACAAAUACAAGAGCAACAUGUUUUCUUUUGAAGAGUCAUAAUUUUUAAUGGUACUUUAAGUGCAGCUUUCUUCUCCCAAUGCCUUUAUAUAUUACAGCAUGUGAUUUUCAAAAUUGCAUACAUUUUCUUUGGGGACA